rfam:Daphnia pulex DAPPTscaffold_49_Cont2695, whole genome shotgun sequence.
GGUAGCAUGGCCGAGUGGUCCAAGGCGCUGGUUUAAGGCACCAGUUUCUUCGGGGGCAUGGGUUCGAACCCCAUCGCUGCCA